CAGCAGCCGCGGUAAUACGUAGGUGGCAAGCGUUGUCCGGAAUUAUUGGGCGUAAAGGGCUCGCAGGCGGUUUCCUAAGUCUGAUGAGAAAGCCCCCGGCUCAACCGGGGAGGGUCAUUGGAAACUGGGAAACUUGAGUGCAGAAGAGGAGAGUGGAAUUCCACGUGUAGCGGUGAAAUGCGUAGAGAUGUGGAGGAACACCAGUGGCGAAGGCGACUCUCUGGUCUGUAACUGACGCUGAGAGACGAAAGCUAGGGGAGCAAAUGGGAUUAGAUACCCCCGUAGUCCCUGUCUCUUAUAC
rnacentral:rRNA from 1 species